CUUGCUUCUAGAGUUCUAGCCCCUAGAACUCGACUAGCCCUAUAUCGGUCAGGUUUCUCCAAGAACCUAACUCGACCCUCUUAGAUCUUUCUCUGAACUUCUUAUUUCUCUUCUUUAGGACCUUUUCUGAAUCAUAUAAGGCUUUGUCUUAAAUCGCAAAGCCUUGUCCUAAAAUUAAGAUGAGUUGUAAGAAGGGAGAGCAAUGGAGA
rnacentral:lncRNA from 1 species